CGUAGGGGGCAAGCGUUGUCCGGAUUUAUUGGGCGUAAAGCGCUCGCAGGUGGUUCGUUGCGUCGUGCGUGAAAGACCCCGGCUCAACUGGGGGGUGUCGUGCGACACGGGCGAACUGGAGGCCAGUAGGGGGAUGCGGAAUUCCGGGUGUAGUGGUGGAAUGCGUAGAGAUCCGGAGGAACACCAGCGGCGAAGGCGGCAUCCUGGACUGGUCCUGACACUCAGGAGCGAAAGCGUGGGGAGCGAUCCGGAUUAGAUACCCGGGUAGUCCACGCUGUAAACGAUGAGUACUAGGUGUCGGGGGUAUCGACCCCCUCGGUGCCGCAGCUAACGCGAUAAGUACUCCGCCUGGGGACUACGGCCGCAAGGCUA
rnacentral:rRNA from 1 species